GAUGAACGCUGGCGGCGUGCCUAAUACAUGCAAGUCGAGCGAACAGACGAGGAGCUUGCUCCUCUGACGUUAGCGGCGGACGGGUGAGUAACACGUGGAUAACCUACCUAUAAGACUGGGAUAACUUCGGGAAACCGGAGCUAAUACCGGAUAAAAUAUUGAACCGCAUGGUUCAAUAGUGAAAGACGGUUUUGCUGUCACUUAUAGAUGGAUCCGCGCCGCAUUAGCUAGUUGGUAAGGUAACGGCUUACCAAGGCAACGAUGCGUAGCCGACCUGAGAGGGUGAUCGGCCACACUGGAACUGAGACACGGUCCAGACUCCUACGGGAGGCAGCAGUAGGGACUCUUCCGCAAUGGGCGAAAGCCUGACGGAGCAACGCCGCGUGAGUGAUGAAGGUCUUCGGAUCGUAAAACUCUGUUAUUAGGGAAGAACAAAUGUGUAAGUAACUAUGCACGUCUUGACGGUACCUAAUCAGAAAGCCACGGCUAACUACGUG
rnacentral:rRNA from 1 species